rnacentral:rRNA from 1 species
ACUUUCAACAACGGAUCUCUUGGUUCUGGCAUCGAUGAAGAACGCAGCGAAAUGCGAUAAGUAAUGUGAAUUGCAGAAUUCAGUGAAUCAUCGAAUUUUUGAACGCAUAUUGCGCCCCUUGGUAUUCCAUGGGGCAUGCCUGUUCGAGCGUCA